CAAGGAAUCUUCCGCAAUGGGCGAAAGCCUGACGGAGCAACGCCGCGUGGGGGAUGAAGCCUUUCGGGGUGUAAACCUCUUUUCUCGGGGACGAAGAUCUGACGGUACCCGAGGAAUAAGGACCGGCUAACUACGUGCCAGCAGCCGCGGUAAUACGUAGGGUCCGAGCGUUGUCCGGAGUUACUGGGCGUAAAGCGCGCGCAGGUGGCGUCGCAAGUCUGGCGUGAAAGCCCCCGGCUCAACCGGGGAGGGUCGUCGGAUACUGCGGUGCUUGAGGGAGGCAGGGGUCGGUGGAAUGCCCGGUGUAGUGGUGAAAUGCGUAGAGAUCGGGCGGAACACCCGUGGCGAAGGCGGCCGACUGGGCCUAACCUGACACUGAGGCGCGAAGGCGUGGGGAGCGAACGGG
rnacentral:rRNA from 1 species